rnacentral:rRNA from 1 species
CCUACGGGUGGCAGCAGUGGGGAAUAUUGCACAAUGGGCGAAAGCCUGAUGCAGCAACGCCGCGUGAAGGAAGAAGGGUUUCGGCUCGUAAACUUCUAUCAACAGGGACGAAAGAAAUGACGGUACCUGAACAAGAAGCUCCGGCUAACUACGUGCCAGCAGCCGCGGUAAUACGUAGGGGGCAAGCGUUAUCCGGAAUUACUGGGUGCAAAGGGCGAGUAGGCGGGAUGGUAAGCCAGAUGUGAAAGCAUAGGGCUUAACCGGGGGACUGCAUUUGGAACUGGCAAGCUGGAGUUCGGGAGAGGAUAGGGGAAUUCCAGGUGUAGGGGUGAAAGGCGUAGAUAUAUGGAGGAACAGCAGUGGGGAAGGCGGCUUUCGGG